CAGCCGCGCCGCCUCCUUCUUCGAAGCGCUGAACGGGGAGGGGCCUGACGGGGAGGGGCGGGGCCGGGGGCCCGGAGUCCCAACCGCCCUCUGCGCUCAAGUUUCAACCGCUGCUACCUCAGGUGAAGACACAGUGAGAAGAGGGCCAUCUACAAACCAGGAGGAAAGCCCUAAUCCAGAAACUGAACUGUGCCAGAACUCGAUCUUGGACUUUCCAGUUUCCAGAACUAUGUGGUAUUGGAUAGGCUGAAACUUCGCAACCAAAAGUGACAUCAUUUCAAAUGAAGUUCUCUGGAUUUUGAGGAGGCAAAGAAAUAACAGGAGCUACAUGAAAAAAACAAUAUAGUGAGAAAUUUGUGUCAAAAAAUGGCUCUAGUCUCUAAAGAAAUAUUUUUGAAAAUAAUUUGUGCAUGUGUAAGUUCAAUUGACACAAAUAAUUGAAGACUUUUUUUUUACUACUCACAUAGUUAGUAGACUUUUAGUCAAGAUUGCUACAAAAGUAUGUGUGGUCUUUAAGCAGCAUGAAAAGGGGAAUCCCAGUGACAAAGAAACCUUGCAUUAUAAACUUAUUCAGAGAUGCCUGUCAUUUAAUUGAAUAUGGACUAUUUAGGAUGGGAAAAAUUUUUGUUAGCAUUUCUAAAAUACUUGGUGAAAAUGAAACCUGUGUACAUGUUGUCUAAGUUGGGUGGGGUAGGUUG